AACGAACGCUGGCGGCAUGCCUAACACAUGCAAGUCGAACGAUUGCCUUCGGGUGAUAGUGGCGCACGGGUGCGUAACGCGUGGGAAUCUGCCCUUAGGUUCGGAAUAACAGCUGGAAACGGCUGCUAAUACCGGAUGAUAUCGCGAGAUCAAAGAUUUAUCUCCUGAGGAUGCGCCCGCGUUGGAUUAGGUUGUUGGUGGGGUAAAGGCCUACCAAGCCGACGAUCCAUAGCUGGUCUGAGAGGAUGAUCAGCCACACUGGGACUGAGACACGGCCCAGACUCCUACGGGAGGCAGCAGUGGGGAAUAGUGGAAAAUGGGCGCAAGCCUGAUGCAGCAAUGCCGGGUGAGUGAUGAAGGCCCUAGGGUUGUAAAGCUCUUUUACCCGGGAAGAUAAUGACUGUACCGGGAGAAUAAGCCCCGGCUAACUCCGUG
rnacentral:rRNA from 1 species